CUAGCUGUUAUAUUUUUAAUUAUUUACCAUUUCCCCUUUUCAGAACAAAGAAAUUACAGAGAAUGCUUACAGUAAGGUUUCCAUGUCUCAAAAGUCAAAAGCAAAAACAGUCAACUUUGCAUCCCCCUACUUUCUGUUGUGCCUGAAGGCAUCAUAUUUUCUCAUAUCAGAGGCAGUUCCAGACACAAACACAUUUGUAGCUGGCCCCGAUGACAGAAGUAGCUGUGGCUUCCAGCUGUGUGUUGACACAAUAGCCUUAACACUUUGGCCGGAUCCUGGAUGGGUCCCUAGAGAACAGCUCUGCUUUU